AAUAAAAAUCAUUAAAUCAAAUUUCAAUACAAUUUUAUAUAUGACUCAUAAAUAUUAAAUAAUAAAAGUGCAAGUUACUUGGCGCGGAUGGGUGCGGGGGAGCACCCUGCAGUCGUACCACCCAAUUGACAUCUCUAUACUUAUUGGUGUAAAAAGUCCUCAAACUUAAAAAAAAAAAAAUUAAGCUCCCACUUUUCUUUUUGCACUUAAUUGGGUACUUAAACUUUCAAAAUGCAUCAAAAAGACACUCAAAUAUUUUCAAAAGAAAUAAUUAAGCCCCUGAUUUAUUUUUGCACUCAAUUGGGUACUUAAACUAUUAGAUGCAUCAAAAAUG
rnacentral:lncRNA from 1 species